rnacentral:RNase_P_RNA from 1 species
GGGGCUGGGACACCGCUCACGCCCGGAUCAAUUGUGAAGGGUGAGGAAACUCCGUGCACCCCGCGGCGACGCGGCCCCGUAAGGGGCACGGGCAGUCCCCGUGGCAACGGCGCAGAAACGGUACGGCCACCACGGUGUGGCGAGGACCCCGCCAUGCCCCCGGUGACGGGGGCUUUAAACGGGUGAGGACCAUGGUGGAGGCGUUGAAACGGCCGACCCGCGUGGUGCAAGGCCCGGUUCCGGUGUGAGGUGCCGCGUGACCGGUGUGGGCCGCUUAGACGAAUGCGGUUUGACUGAACACGGGUUAUGUCCCAGCCCC